UGUGAACGUACUUAAUGUCACUGACCUGUGCACGUAAAAAUGACGAAGAUGGUGAAUUUUGUGUUAUGUGUACUUUAUAGCAAUUAAAAAUAAAAAUUACACUGCCAAUCUUAAAGCUGUUAAAGUUCAAAAGCACCAAGUUUGAAAUGAAGUGUGUCUAUUUGAUAGUGUUUAUUACUGCUUCUGCCACCUACCUUGUGUCCUAUAUAUCUUUAUGAGAUAUUUAAUUUUGUUAAAGAUUCUGUUUUUUAGAGCAGUUUUAGGCUCCCAGCAAAAUUGAGAGGCAGAUACAGAGAUUUCUCAUACACCCGCUACCUGCACUCCCGCACAGCUUCCCCCACUAUCAACAGCCCCCACCAGAGGGGACGAAUGUUACAGCUGAUGGACCUAUUGCAACAUCAUCGUCACCCAGAGUCCGUAGUUUACCUUAGGGUUCACUCUCGGGGUGGUACAUUCCAGGGGUUUUGACACAUGUAUAAUGACAUGUAUCCAUGAUUAUAGUAUCAUAGAGAGUAUUUUUACCGCCCUAAAAAUCCUCUGUGCUCCACCUCUUCAUCCCUCCCUUCUCUUAACCCUUGGUAACUAUUAAUCUUUUUACUGUCUCCAUAGUUUUGCCUUUUCCAGAAUGUCCUAGAAUUGGAAUUAUAUAGUAUGUUGUCUUUCAGAUCGGCUUCUUUCACUUAAUAAUAGGCAUUUAAAUUUCCCCCAUGUCUUUUCCUGGCUCGACGGCUCUUUUUUUUUUUUUUUUUUUUUUUUUUUAAGUGCUAAAUAAUAAUUCCAUUGUCUGGAUGGGCCGCAGUUUAUUUAUCCGUUCACCUACUGAAGGGCAUCUUGGUUGCUUCCAAGUUUGGGCUGUGAUGAAUAAAGUUGCUAUAAACAACCAUGCACAGGUUUUUGUGAGGACAUAAGUUUUCGACUCCUUUGGAUAAAUGCCAAGGAGCACAAGUGCUGGGCCGUAUGUUUAGUUUUAGACCAAACUGUCUUCCAAAGUGGCUGCACCAUUUUGCAUCCCUGCUGGCCCUGAAUGAGAGUUCCUGUUGCCCCAUAUUCUCGCCAGCAUUUGGUGUCGCCUGCGCUCUGGAUUCUGACCAUUCCAAUAGUAAGUCACGGUUUCUCACUGUCGUUUUACUUUGCAUUUCCCCCAUGACAUACAAUGUACAGCAUCUUUUCAUAUGCUUAUUUGCCAUCUGUACAUCUUCUUUGAUGAGGUGUCUGUGAAGGUCUUUGGCCCAUUUGUAAAGCAGGUUAUUUAUUUUCUUAUUGUUGAGUUUUAAGUGUUUUGUUUUGUUUUUGUAUAUUUAGAUAGCAGUCCUUUAUCAGAUGUACCUUUUGCAGAUAUUUUCUCCCAAUCUAUGUUUUGUCGUCUCAUUCUCUUGACAUUGUCUUGUGCAGAGCAGAAAUUUUUAGUUUUAAUGAAGUCCAGCCUAUGAAUUAUUCCUUUUAUGGAUCGCGUUUUUGGUGUUGUACCUAAGAAGUCAUUUCCGUACUCCGAGUCAUCUAGACUUUUUCUCUAUGUUAUCUUCUAGGAGUUUUAUAGUUUUUGUAUUUGACGUUUGGGUCUAUGAUCCAUUUUGAGUUCAUUCUGGUGAGUGAUAUAAAGUUUGUGUCUAGAUGUAUUUAUGUAUUUUGCGCGUGGAUGUCCAGUCGUUCCAAUACCUUUUGUUGCAAAGACUGUCUUUGCUCCACUGUGUUGCCUCUGUUCCUUUAUCAAAGGCCCAUUGACUAUAUAUUGUGUCGGUCUACUUCUGGGCCCUCUAUUUUGUUCCAUUGAUCUGGCUAUUUAUUCUUUUGUAAAUACCACGCUAUCUUGAAGUCGGGUCGGGUCAGCUCUCCAACCCUGUUCUUCUCCUUCAAUAUUGUGUUGGCGAUUCUGGGUCUUUUGCUUCUCCAUUUAAACUUCAGAAUUAGUUUCUCAGUAUCCACAAAGUAACUUGCUGGACGUUGCAUCAUUUUCUUUUCUUUUUUUAUUGUUUUGUUUUUUUUAAAGAUUUUAUUUAUUUAUUUAUUUUGACAGAGAGAGACACAGCGAGAGAGGGAACACAAGCAGGGGGAGUGGGAGAGGGAGAAGCAGGCUUCCCGCGGAGCAGGGAGCCAGAUGCGGGGCUCGAUCCCAGGACCCUGCGACCAUGACUUGAGCCGAAGGCAGCUGCUUAACCAUCUGAGCCACCCAGGCGCCCCUGUUCCAUCAUUUUAAAACACAAAAAGAUACAUAAUACUUAAAAUUAAAGAACACCUGGACCAACCUUGCAGAAUGGGAACAUGGUAGAAGGGAAAUACCCCAAAUAACUAAAGAACAUCAAUUUUUGAAAUGGUGCAUCAAAACAGAACGUUAAAAUGACAACAUAAUGUAGGAAAAACCUUACAACUCUGAUCCUUGAGUAAUUCAGAAGAAUCCUUCAUUCAGAAUGUACAGAAGGUGUAGACUACAACUUAGAUGUUUCUACUGAAGAAGAACGUGGCGUUUAAGUCUAUAAAGAGUUAAAUAUUAUGACCUAGCAUGCGUGGUGUAGCCGCUGAAGCCGAAAGUUCCAGCACCAGCUCCCUGAUCUCUACCUCCCUGAUUCACAAAGCAGCUGCAGUGCUCAUGCUGAGCUAGUUCUGCAGUGGCUUCCAGAGCCGAUGAUUCCCAGCCCGAAGCCCGCUCUCACCGUGGAAGGACCCUGCUCGUGCCCCUGGAGACAAUAUAGACAGAAGUUCCCAGCACAGGAUAGUUUCCCAAGCAGCUGCUCGAUGAAUGAACAUCAUUCAUGCACAGAAUGUAGGUGUGUUGCCUUCUUGCCCCCAGCCUUGAAUCCACACGAUAUUAUACAAAACGGAUGAUUGAAAGUGGAACUUGGCCAACAAUAGUGAAAGUGCAGCAAAGAAAUGAAAAGUGAUAACAUCAGAAGUGAAAUUCAAGUCACAGAAAUGGAAUUUCACAAGGAAAAGGUGACCGUCACAAUAUUGAUUCUGUCCCCGUUUGAGGGACUGUAGAUGGACAGCCAGGGACACUUGCUGAAGGGGCACAGAUCAACGGAAACGAGGAGAGCCGUGGUGACGGAAAGGAGGAUGUCCCAGAGGAAGUGAUGCUGGCAAAGGACUUAACACUGAAGGAACCCUCAGACAUAGUUCCUGACAUUGAAAGUACAAAGGAUAAAGUGGGAGAAGCAGAUCCAAAUUUAGAAAGGAGUGUGACGAUUUUCCAAGGCAUGGAAAAGAUGCUCCGUUGUAGGUUAUAUAAUAGUGUUUACAAACAAAUACAACACUUUGAUUCUUAAGGUCUCUGAUGUUUUAAAUUACAGCGUACUAAAUAAAUAUGAGUUUGGCUAUGUUUUAUUUCCCUAUACAUUCAUAACUGACAGAAAGAGAGUCUUUAAUCUUUUAACAUAAGUGUAAUUCACAGCCCAAUCGUAUUUUCCCCAUGCAUGACUAAGAUCGCUUCACAAAGCUUCGGCUGGAGCGGCCAUUCCCACCAUCCAUGCA